CAGUAGCGUAUAUUAAAGUUGUUGCAGUUAAAAUGCUCGUAGUUGAAGUUCGGAUGCAGCAGAGCUUGGAAACGCUGUUAUGGUGCUUCCGUUGCUUUUGCUUGUCCACAGUGCGUUACAAGUACGUAUGUGCUUGUGCGUGCAUUUUACUUUGAGAAACAUAGGGUGUUCCACGCAUGUUACGGCAUGAAUAUUCCAGCAUGGGAUAAUCUGGUACGACUUCCAAUCUGCCAUUUUGGUUCGUAGGUUGGAAGUAAUGAUUAAUAGGGACUGUCGGGGGCAUUGGUAUUUGACUGUCAGAGGUGAAAUUCUUAGAUUCGUUGAGGACCAACCACUGCGAAAGCAUUUGUCAAGGAUGUCUCCAUUAA
rnacentral:rRNA from 1 species